CAUCACUCCUGUUCUGUGUAUGGCACUGGUAGAAUUCACUGUGAAAACACACUAUCAGUGAAUUACCAAAGGGCCAUAAACAGAGCAGAGAAAGAUCCACAA
rnacentral:pre_miRNA from 15 species